UCUCUGGUAGUAUAGUGGUGAGUAUCCGCGCCUGUCACGUGCGAGACCGGGGUUCGAUUCCCCGCCAGAGAG
rfam:Strongyloides stercoralis strain PV0001 genome assembly, scaffold: SSTP_contig0000193